CUUCCGCUCCUUGGCGGCGGCGGCGGCGGUCUCCUCCGCCGUCGGGGCCUUGGGCGAUUGCGAUGGCGCCGGCGGGUUGUUGGGCUCCUGGUCCUGCUGCGGCGGAGGAGGACAGUGCUUCUCUGCGGAAUGAAGCGGCGGCGGUGGUGGUGGAGCGGGAGGGAGCGCGGCGACGUGCGGAGCGGCGUGCAGGAGAGGUGGAUGCAGCGGCGCGGGGUCGGCGGGGGCGAGGAGGGAGCGGAGGCGGAGCUCGAGGAGGGAGGCGAGGCCGGGGUUGCAGGGGUGGAUGAUCUCGCGGACGUUGUGGAUGAGCUGCGCCACGGACACCCCGGCCCCGCCGCUGCUCCCGAU
rnacentral:lncRNA from 1 species